GUUACCUGGCUGACAGGAGGAGGAAGCUAUGUCUCAAUAAAUGUGAUACUCUUGAGGGGGAUGGCUCAUUUUGCAGGACAGCCUGGGCAUCUCUGGAGGCUGCUCUUGAUGUGACCUCAAACAGCUCUCUGCCUCAUUGGACUCCAGUUGCAAUUCUACCGAAGAGGCGAGAAGGAAGAAAAGAAAAUAGGCCUUUUGCUUCUCCAGCAAGACUUCGCUGUGGGUUUCUCAGAAUGACUGGCUGUUUGUUCAACUGUUUAGAUAAAAUUGGAAGCAGCAAGCACUGGGAGAAUAACUUAUAUAAGCAUGGGUUUAUUAGCAACCCGUGGCUCAAUUUUGGCUGUGAGGACAGAGCUGGGAGGUCUAACAGAAGCCAGGAAGCCUGUCUGCUGUCAAUCAAGGUGGAAACAGCUGUCUUUCGCCAUGUGGUACGGAAGAGCAAGCAGCCACCUUUACUCUUGUCCGUAGACAAGGAUACAAGGCAUCUCUGGGCUUCCACUAUGGUACCAGGGGCCUCUGGGUUCCCUAUUAUUUAUUGUCCAAUUUUUCCUAUUGUGCUUCGUGACCCUACAAAGUUUCAUCAUUCCAAUAAUCACCAACACUGCUGGAAUCAGUUUCUUCUCCCAAAUAAAUUACCACUGCUAAGA